UACGUAGGGGGCAAGCGUUGUCCGGAAUCAUUGGGCGUAAAGAGCGUGUAGGCGGCUCGGUAAGUCCGCUGUGAAAGUCCAGGGCUCAACCCUGGAAUGCCGGUGGAAACUGUCGAGCUAGAGUCCGGAAGAGGCGAGUGGAAUUCCUGGUGUAGCGGUGAAAUGCGCAGAUAUCAGGAGGAACACCAAUGGCGAAGGCGGCUCGCUGGGCUCUACCUGACGCUGAGGCGCGAAAGCGUGGGGAGCGAACCGG
rnacentral:rRNA from 1 species